rnacentral:lncRNA from 1 species
GGUGGAAAAGAAAGAAGAAGAAAAGGCAAUGCGACUUUACUUUUGGAAAAGCAUUAAAGGCAGUUGUGUUGUGUGGAUUGACGUGACUUAAGCAAUAAGUAGUAAGGAAAAUGGCAUUGGCAAAUAGAAAGUGAAAAAAGUGAAGGAGGAGGAAGGAAGGGGGGGGGGUGCGUUAAGCAAUUUAAAAAGUGGGUUUCUUAAGUGUGAAGGUGUUGUUAAAGUAAUGGAGUUUGAUUGGGAGAAGCACCGACCCAAAGCAAAAAGUUAGGAAGAUGGUAACAUAGAUGCUUUAUGGGUGGUGUUAGAAAAGUAGGUUAAGUUAACCCUCACUUUCUCUCACUUCAAAGGAAACCUUCCUCCUAACUAUCUAUUUUGGAAAACGUAUUUUCUAACAAUUUUUUUUUAAUAAC